rnacentral:rRNA from 1 species
UACGAAGGGGGCUAGCGUUGCUCGGAAUCACUGGGCGUAAAGCGCACGUAGGCGGAUUGUUAAGUCAGGGGUGAAAUCCUGGAGCUCAACUCCAGAACUGCCUUUGAUACUGGCGAUCUCGAGUCCGGGAGAGGUGAGUGGAACUCCGAGUGUAGAGGUGAAAUUCGUAGAUAUUCGGAAGAACACCAGUGGCGAAGGCGGGUCUCUGGACAGUUCCUGACACUGAGGCACGAAGGCCAGGGGAGCAAACGGG